rnacentral:lncRNA from 1 species
CAUACAUCAUCGCAUGUACGAUUCUUCGAGGAACUUUCAGAUUGUGCUCUUGUCUUACUUUAUUCGUCAUAGCGCGAUAUCCAAGAAGCUUUCCUGGCCCGUCCAAUUCCUGUUUUACAGCGGUUCUCAAUGCUUCUUCAGUCACUGUUCUAUCCGUUCGAUAUAUAUCAAACCAUCGCAUUCUUCUGUCCAGUGUUCGCAAAGACCAAGCAUAAUGGCUGAAGUCCUUCUUCAUAAAACUUAGAAUUUCUUGUCUCUGGAGUCCUUGCCUACUGUAUCCUUCCAAACUAUCUUUCAGUCUUUCGUCGUCUUUCCAGUCUGGAUUCCUCAUGUACGCCAUGUUGGAUUUAACUUUCCCGCGUGAAUGCGCGAAUAAUUUAAAAUAAAUUCGUAUGAAUAAAUUAGUACAUGCACGCAACGCAUUGUGGUAUACUAUGGCAGUUUUGGGCUCGUG